rnacentral:tRNA from 1 species
UAAGGCUUUAGCUUAAUAAAAGUGUCUGUUUUGCAUACAGAAGAUGUGGGUUAAUGUCCCGUAAGUCUUA